AGGGAAAGAUCAGGUGGGUUAUCCUGGAGUUCCGUGGUGGUACUGAGACUUAACGUAUGCUGAUUUGGAAAUUACCAAGACUGCAAUGGAAAAAUUUCAGGUGCCACACACAUUUAAGAGGAGCAGGAAGUUCAAACACGCCACGGUUGAAUGGAAUUCAACACUCAGUUCAGAUGGAAAAAUCUUUUUGGUAAGUGUACAGUUGACACAUUGGUGUCUAAAUUAACUAGCCACUCUUGACUCAAAACUAGUAUCAUUGGCUCACAGAACACUUCAGAAUAAGAGGCACAGAGAUGUGUGAUGCUGUUAACAUUCACAUUCUGUCUGUGUUCUUCUAAGGUUGCUUCAGCUGUAGCAACAGAAAAUGAAGGUGAUGGACAGCAGUUACUCUCAUGGCAAAAACUUUGGAAAGUUGAACUACUUUGGCAGAGAGGGAGGCUCUACAGAAUAAUUGGCAACAUAGGGGAAGGCAGAGGCUAGAGGAGCACUCAUUUGCAUGAGAGAUGAUAACCAAAAAUCAUCGGACACUCAGCUGAAAGGUAAUGCAUGUGCAACUCUUCAAUACAAGAUGUCAAAGCCAAAAGUGCAGUCUGAGUCAGGAGACCGCCAUUCUCACCGGAUUAAGAAUAAACUUCUUAAUCUAUAAAUAACUGGUGCUGGGUCUCAUUAAUACUCCUUUAAAAUAUUUCAUAUUGGAAAGAGUUAUAAAGGAUAACAAACUAAGUAUAAAAACUAUCUCACUUGGGGGUUUGAUAUCUUUUUUUGGUCUUGAGGGGAAGAAAAAAACACUUCAGGCUCUUUGAUAGCGCAGCAUCUGGGGAAGACCACUAUCCACUGUGGCGUCAACCUUUUGUUAACAUCCCCAUGGGGCUGCAGAUAGGUUAGUGAUCUGUUUAUCAUUAAUUCGCAUCACUCUGUAAUGAAGAAUUGCCCUUUGUACACACCGCCUGUCGCUACUACUGAUUGGAUGGUUAAGUGAGGUCCUCGGAUCGGCCCCGGCAGGGUCGGCCCUGGCCCUGCCGCAGCGUCGAGAAGACGGUCGAACUUGACUAUCUAGAGGAAUUAAAAGUCGUAACAAGGUUUCCAUAGGUGAACCUGCGGAAGGAUCAUUA
rnacentral:ncRNA from 1 species